AUUGAACGCUGGCGGCAUGCCUUACACAUGCAAGUCGAACGGCAGCACGGGAGCUUGCUCCUGGUGGCGAGUGGCGAACGGGUGAGUAAUAUAUCGGAACGUGCCCAGUGGUGGGGGAUAGCCCGGCGAAAGCCGGAUUAAUACCGCAUACGAUCUAUGGAUGAAAGCGGGGGAUCGCAAGACCUCGCGCUAUUGGAGCGGCCGAUAUCUGAUUAGCUAGUUGGUGAGGUAAAGGCUCACCAAGGCGACGAUCAGUAGCUGGUCUGAGAGGACGACCAGCCACACUGGAACGGAGACACGGUCCAGACUCCUACGGGAGGCAGCAGUGGGGAAUUUUGGACAAUGGGGGAAACCCUGAUCCAGCAAUGCCGCGUGAGUGAAGAAGGCCUUCGGGUUGUAAAGCUCUUUUGUCAGGGAAGAAACGGUUCUGGCUAAUAUCCAGAGCUAAUGACGGUACCUGAAGAAUAAGCACCGGCUAACUACGUGCCAGCCGCCGCGGUAAGAC
rnacentral:rRNA from 1 species